AGACCGAUAGCGAACAAGUAGAGUGAUCGAAAGAUGAAAAGCACUUUGAAAAGAGAGUUAAAAAGUACGUGAAAUUGUUGAAAGGGAAGCGUUUAUGACCAGACUUGGACUUGGUUAAUCAUCUGGGGUUCUCCCCAGUGCACUUUUCCAGUUCAGGCCAGCAUCAGUUUUCGCCGGGGGAUAAAGGCAGCGGGAAUGUGGCUCUCUUCGGGGAGUGUUAUAGCCCGUUGUGUAAUACCCUGGUGGGGACUGAGGUUCGCGCUUCUGCAAGGAUGCUGGCGUAAUGGUCAUCAACGACCCGUCUUGAAACACGGACCAAG
rnacentral:rRNA from 1 species